GUUUACGGAGACAUAUGAGACUGCACACAGGUGAAAAACAUGACAAACCUCAUGGCUGUGAUACUUGUGGUAAACGGUUUAGUCAGCUGAGUAGUUUAAAAACUCACAUGAGAACACAUACCGGUUAUAAACCUCAUGAGUGUGAUGUAUGUGGUAGAGGGUUUAGUGUGCAAAGUGGUUUACAGAGUCACAAGAGAACACAUACUGGUUAUAAACCUCAUGAGUGUGAUUUAUGUGAACAGAGGUUUAUUACAGCUAGUAGUUUACAGAAGCACAAGAUAAUACAUACAGGUGAUAAACCUUACGAGUGUGAUUUAUGUGGAAAGAGGUUUAGUCAGCAUAGUAGUUUACAGAAACACAAGAGAAUACAUACAGGUGAUAAACCUCACGAGUGUGAUUUAUGUGGUAAAAAGUUUAGUCAGCAUAGUAGUUUACAGAAACACAAGAGAAUACAUAC
rnacentral:lncRNA from 1 species